rnacentral:rRNA from 1 species
AGGAAAAGAAACCAACAGGGAUUGCCCUAGUAACGGCGAGUGAAGCGGCAACAGCUCAAAUUUGAAAUCUGGCGCAAGCCCGAGUUGUAAUUUGUAGAGGAUGCUUCUAGGUAGCGACCGGUCUAAGUUCCUUGGAACAGGACGUCAGAGAGGGUGAGAAUCCCGUAUGUGACCGGCCCGCACCUUCCACGUAGCUCCUUCGAAGAGUCGAGUUGUUUGGGAAUGCAGCUCUAAAUGGGAGGUAAAUUUCUUCUAAAGCUAAAUACCGGCCAGAGACCGAUAGCGCACAAGUAGAGUGAUCGAAAGAUGAAAAGCACUUUGGAAAGAGAGUUAAAAAGCACGUGAAAUUGUUGAAAGGGAAGCGCUCACAACCAGACUUCUGGGCGGUGUUCCGCCGGUCUUCUGACCGGUCUACUCGCCGUCCCGAGGCCAACAUCAUCUGGGACCGCUGGAUAAGACCGGAGGAAUGUAGCUCCCCUCGGGGAGUGUUAUAGCCUCCGGUGAUGCAGCGCGUCUCGGGUGAGGUCCGCGCUUCGGCAAGGAUGUUGGCGUAAUGGUUGUCAGCGGCCCGUCUUGAAACACGGACCAAGGAGUCUAACAUCUAUGCGAGUGUUCGGGUGUCAAACCCCUACGCGGAAUGAAAGUGAACGGAGGUGGGAAGGGCAACCUGCACCAUCGACCGAUCCUGAUGUCCUCGGAUGGAUUUGAGUAAGAGCAUAGCUGUUGGGACCCGAAAGAUGGUGAACUAUGCCUGAAUAGGGUGAAGCCAGAGGAAACUCUGGUGGAGGCUCGCAGCGGUUCUGACGUGCAAAUCGAUCGUCAAAUUUGGGUAUAGGGGCGAAAGACUAAUC